rnacentral:misc_RNA from 1 species
GGGAAUGAAAAUUUUCAGGGAGAAUGAGAUUUUAUAGAGAGAAACUCAGGGGAAACUCUCUUUUGAAGAUUUAUCCUCAUAAUCAUAGGAAAAACAUUUAGGAUCAUCUAUUAGAAGCCGGCAGAACCUUGCUUAGAAGCCAGGUGAACUUUUGUUCUUAUCUUAUUUUCAAUCCCAAGUAUAAUGAAAUUGAAAAUUUUACUUAAACCAUUUGGAGCUUCAUUCAAUUUCUAAAGCCAGUUGUCUAGGGAUCACAAUUGUUGUGCAUAGACCUGAUAUAGUGGUCAAAUAAGAUUGUAGUGGGUCUCUUUGGAUUUCUUGCUGAUGGAGGACUGCUAACUAUUUAAUA